rnacentral:rRNA from 1 species
GACGAACGCUGGCGGCGUGCUUAACACAUGCAAGUCGAACGGUGACGAGGAGCUUGCUCCUCCGAUCAGUGGCGAACGGGUGAGUAACACGUGAGCAACCUGCCCCAGACUCUGGGAUAACAGUUGGAAACAGCUGCUAAUACCGGAUACGAGACGGAGAGGCAUCUCUACCGUCUGGAAAGUUUUUCGGUCUGGGAUGGACUCGCGGCCUAUCAGCUAGUUGGUGAGGUAGUGGCUCACCAAGGCGACGACGGGUAGCCGGCCUGAGAGGGCGACCGGCCACACUGGGACUGAGACACGGCCCAGACUCCUACGGGAGGCAGCAGUGGGGAAUAUUGCACAAUGGGCGAAAGCCUGAUGCAGCGACGCCGCGUGAGGGAUGACGGCC